CCCUUAGAUGUUCUGGGCUGCACGCGCGCUACACUGAAGCUAUCAACACGUUUUGCCUCCCUGAGAAGGGCGGGUAACCUUUUGAAUCAGCUUCGUGGUAGGGAUCGGGGCUUGCAAUUGUUCCCCGUGAACCAGGAAUUCCUAGUAGACGCGAGUCAUAAGCUCGCAUCGAUUAAGUCCCUGCCCUUUGUACACACCGCCCGUCGCUACUACCGAUUGAACGUUUUAGUGAGGCAUUUGGACCGACGCAUCUCAGUUUAACCGCUGGUUUGUGUUGGAAAGACUUCCAAACUUGAGCGUUUAGAGGAAGUAAAAGUCGUAACA
rnacentral:rRNA from 1 species